AUUGAACGCUGGCGGCAUGCCUUACACAUGCAAGUCGAACGGCAGCGGACCUUCGGGUGCCGGCGAGUGGCGAACGGGUGAGUAAUAUAUCGGAACGUACCUUUCAGUGGGGGAUAACGUAGCGAAAGUUACGCUAAUACCGCAUAUUCUGUGAGCAGGAAAGCAGGGGAUCGCAAGACCUUGCGCUGAUUGAGCGGCCGAUAUCAGAUUAGCUAGUUGGUGAGGUAAAGGCUCACCAAGGCGACGAUCUGUAGCGGGUCUGAGAGGAUGAUCCGCCACACUGGAACUGAGACACGGUCCAGACUCCUACGGGAGGCAGCAGUGGGGAAUUUUGGACAAUGGGGGCAACCCUGAUCCAGCCAUGCCGCGUGAGUGAAGAAGGCCU
rnacentral:rRNA from 1 species